UUUAAGUGCUCUUUAUUUAAAGUAAGACCUGCUCAAUGAACCAAAAUAAAUAGCCGCAGUUUACCUGUGCUAAGGUAGCAUAAUAACUUGCUUCUUAAUUAGAAGAUAGAAUGAAAGGUUACACACUAAAAAUAUGUUUCUUCAAGACUAAAUUAACUUAAACCUUAAGGUAAAAAUUCCUUUGAUAAAAGCGGGACGACAAGACCCUGAUAAACUUAACAUUUAGUUGGGGAAACACAUUAAAAACACUUUAAUUCAAUAUAAUCAACACAACUUUAAACAGUAAAAUAUGGUUUAGUUACUACAGGGAUAACAGCGUUAUUUCUUUUAAGAGACCUUAUCUAAAAAGAAGAUUACGACCUCGAUGUUGAAUUAAUCACCCUAUAAAACGCAACAGUUUAUAAUUAGGUAGUCUGUUCGACUAUUAAAAGAUUACGUG
rnacentral:rRNA from 1 species